rnacentral:lncRNA from 1 species
GGCGGAGAACGGUGGUCCGGCGGCGGCGCUGCUGCGGAGGACGGUGGUCCGGCGGCGGCGCGUGGAACUCACGCGCGCGCGGAGGUGAAACUUCCGGAGGCGCGUACGGCUUCGUCCGGGAUCCGAUCGUGACGCGGUUGGUGUCUACGGCUUCGUCUUGACGAGAGGAACACGAUGAUGGGGCGGAGGACGGUGGUCCGGCGGUGGCGCGUGGAACUCACGCGCGCGCGGAGGUGAAACUUCCGGAGGCGCGUACGGCUUCGUCCGGGCUCCGAUCGUGACGCGGUUGGUGUCUACGGCUUCGUCUUGACGAGAGGAACACGAUGAUGGCCUUGGAUGCACGAAAUUCACUUCGGUUAGAAAGUUAUGACCGAUUUACUAAAACGACCGAAACAUAACUCAAACACAUGGCGGUUUCCGGUUACCUCGAGCUGCGGUUGAUGGUGAUGACGAGCUUGACGACGUCCUGGCGUGCGGUGGCUCCGGCGAGGACUCCUGGUGAGCUUUCU